rnacentral:rRNA from 1 species
GACGAACGCUGGCGGCGUGCUUAACACAUGCAAGUCGAACGGAAAGGCCCUGCUUUUGUGGGGUGCUCGAGUGGCGAACGGGUGAGUAACACGUGAGUAACCUGCCCUUGACUUUGGGAUAACUUCAGGAAACUGGGGCUAAUACCGGAUAGGAGCUCCUGCUGCAUGGUGGGGGUUGGAAAGUUUCGGCGGUUGGGGAUGGACUCGCGGCUUAUCAGCUUGUUGGUGGGGUAGUGGCUUACCAAGGCUUUGACGGGUAGCCGGCCUGAGAGGGUGACCGGCCACAUUGGGACUGAGAUACGGCCCAGACUCGUACGGGAGGCAGCGGUGGGGAAGAUUGCACAAUGGGCGGAAGCCUGAUGCAGCAACGCCGCGUGCGGGAUGACGGCCUUCGGGUUGUAAACCGCUUUCGCCUGUGACGAAGAGUGAGUGACGGUAAUGGGUAAAGAAGCACCGGCUAACUACGUG